rnacentral:rRNA from 1 species
GACGAACGCUGGCGGCGUGCUUAACACAUGCAAGUCGAACGGUGAAGGGGUCUGCUUUUGUGGGCCCUGGAUGAGUGGCGAACGGGUGAGUAACACGUGAGUAACCUGCCCCCUUCUUCUGGAUAACCGCAUGAAAGUGUGGCUAAUACGGGAUAUUCUGGGUCUGUCGCAUGAUGGGUCUGGGAAAGAUUGCGCCUUUGGGUGUUUUUGGUGGGGGAUGGGCUCGCGGCCUAUCAGCUUGUUGGUGGGGUGAUGGCCUACCAAGGCGGUGACGGGUAGCCGGCCUGAGGGGGUGGACGGUCACACUGGGACUGAGACACGGCCCAGACUCCUACGGGAGGCAGCAGUGGGGAAUAUUGCACAAUGGGCGCAAGCCUGAUGCAGCGACGCCGCGUGAGGGAUGGAGGCCUUCGGGUUGUAAACCUCUUUCGCCAGUGAAGCAGGCCUGCUCCUUGUGGGUGGGUUGACGGUAGCUGGAGAAGAAGCGCCGGCUAACUACGUG